GACGAACGCUGGCGGCGCGCCUAACACAUGCAAGUCGAACGAGAGAGAGGAAGCUUGCUUCCUCAAUCGAGUGGCGAACGGGUGAGUAACGCGUGAGGAACCUGCCUCAAAGAGGGGGACAACAGUUGGAAACGACUGCUAAUACCGCAUAAGCCCACAGGUCGGCAUCGACCAGAGGGAAAAGGAGCAAUCCGCUUUGAGAUGGCCUCGCGUCCGAUUAGCUAGUUGGUGAGGUAAUGGCCCACCAAGGCAACGAUCGGUAGCCGGACUGAGAGGUUGAACGGCCACAUUGGGACUGAGACACGGCCCAGACUCCUACGGGAGGCAGCAGUGGGGAAUAUUGCACAAUGGGGGAAACCCUGAUGCAGCGACGCCGCGUGGAGGAAGAAGGUCUUCGGAUUGUAAACUCCUGU
rnacentral:rRNA from 1 species